rnacentral:rRNA from 1 species
CACGGGGGGAGCAAGCGUUGUUCGGAAUCACUGGGCGUAAAGGGCGUGUAGGCGGUCAAGUAAGUGGAAUGUGAAAGCCCCCGGCUUACCCGGGGAUCUGCAUCCCAAACUGCUUGGCUUGAGUACGGGAGAGGAUAGGGGAAUUCCUGGUGUAGCGGUGAAAUGCGUAGAUAUCAGGAGGAACACCGGUGGCGAAGGCGCCUAUCUGGCCCGAUACUGACACUGAGGCGCGAAAGCUAGGGGAGCAAACGGG